AUCCUUUUGUGGCUCAUAAUCUAAUGAAUGGGUGUUCAUGUCAUAGUGUAAGAUGUACCUACCUCAAUCCUUGUUAUGUCAGCACACUAAUUGUAUGACA